UUUUCUCACUGAAGUUAUUCUUUCCCACCUCUUCCUGUGCAACCCACUUUCACCUUCUUUUGCAUUCACAGAAACAGAACUUGAGAGACUUCCUUUUGCCUGCACCUCUGUGGAAACAGUGUGACCACUAUGCUAUCACAUAUCAAACCAGCCAAGAUUUUCCCUAGGAAGAACGACUAUCGGAGGAGCAAAUGUUGCCCUAACAGCAGACCGCCUCCUCUCAGCCCAGCACCCAGACUCCAUUGCUUUACGCAGGGAUGGAGAGCAGAGAGCCAGAAGCUCUCAAAGGGAAGAGAGUGCAUUCAUAUGCAAAUGAACAUGUAAUUGCCUGUGAAGCAUCUUGUGGAACUGAAAGCUGUCCAGGUGAAAGAGAAAACCAGCUUAUUCGGAUGGAGUUAAGAGAGGUAAGUUUGUCUUCAUGUGCAUGGUUGCUAAAACAGUGUCUUAUUUACAUAAAACAUUUCAAAAACGUUUUUUUUUUAAUGUAAAGUGGAAGUUUGUCUGGUUUUAGUGAUUUGCUUAAUAAAAAGUUCUGACUUGUUGUAAGGAAGUCA
rnacentral:lncRNA from 1 species